AGGUUUAAUACCUAUUUUGGUCCCUUCUUUGGGAGGGUUUGUUCAAAGUGGUCCCUCCUUUUUUUCAAAAGUUCACUUAAGUCCUACCUUUUGCAAAAACUGUUCAAAGUGGUCUUUCCUUUUUUUCAAAAGUUCACUUAAGUCCUACCUUUUGCAAAAACUGUUCAAAGUGGUCCUUUUUGCUAACGGCGUUAACUUUCUUAACGGCACAGCUGUCAAGUGGCUAAUAUUUGCUGAGGUGUAACGUUUUGGCUGUGCUGGCACUGUUAUGUGUUUUAAAAAAAAUAAUUAAUUGUGACGUGGAAUUUAAUAAAAUUAGGUUUAAAUUAAAAAUUGAAUUUGGGGUUAAUUGGGAGGUAAUUAAUUAAAAAUCCCAUUAAGAACCUUAAUUGUUUCUGGAAAUCUAAAAUGGAAAAAAAUCCCCAAUCUGAAUCCUAACAUUGAAAUUGGGAUAAUUAAGUAAAUGAUUUUGGUCAGAUACAAAUUUGGGAAAAAUCUGCGAUUUUGAUUGGGAUUUUGCUGGUAAUUGGAAUUAGGAUUCAUCUUGAUUGGGAUUUUCUGGUACAGGGCGAAUCAUUAUUGCGAAGGGUCACAUUAUCAGUCGAAGGCAGAGAUCUGAGCCCAUUUCCACUGCCGGGGAAGGAACCCAUGUCAGCAAACUGAUUAACUAGGGGUUUCUGUUCCACCAGAUCCAUAGGCCAACGAAGGUCGUUCUGAUUGUUCCCAGCAUUGAACUUGUGAACAUUGGGUUGAACAAUCUUCCGAUUUCCCAGUGGAUUUAACUUGGAACGUUUCACGGAAGCUUCUUCAGGGAAAUUCACCUUGGCUUUAUUGCCACGAAUCCUCCGUGCCUCAGCAUCAUAAGCUCUUGCUGCUUCUUCAGCAGUGUUGAAGGUUCCAAGCCAGACACGAACGCCCUUUCUUGGGUCCCUGAUUUAAGCUGCCCAUUUCCCCCAAGGACGUUGACGAAUUCCCCUAUAUUGAUUCUUCCUCUUUCUCUCUGCAAUCAUCAUCUUCUACCAUCAUCUUCAACCUCAUCAAUUUUUCUUAACUCAUCAUCUCCUAACACACACCUUCACCCUUCUUUUUUUUAUCUGUAACCAACCCAAACACUACUACUCGUUUCUUCCAACACCUUUCAAUUUAUCCCCAUCAAUCCUCCAUAACACCGAAACACAACCAAACAGAGAAGGACCCACCAAUUUCCAACCUCCACCGAAAAUCAAACCAAGCUAUCCAAAUUUCAUUCCACUGCAAAACCUGAUUUCGAAAUCAUAUGGAGGCUAAUUCAGAAGUCCAAAAAUUUUGUGUGCAUAGUCAUACGAAAGGGUGGCUAUGGAGGAAAGAGUCAUACGAAAGGGUGGUUAUGGAGGGAUCUCGCCUUCAGCUGCCAAAGGUCACCAGAGAUGUGCUCCACCUCCUAAUGUUAGGGUUAAAUUAAUUUUCCCAAUUUUUACUCCAGAUUUUCCCAAUCACGCAAAUCCCUAAUUCAUUUUGUAAUAUAACCCUAAUUCAUUUUUUAAUUUAACCCUAACAACAUACAUUUACACGUCACAAUAUUUUAUUUUUUUUUAAACAUAUAACAAUGCCACAUCAGCACAUGUUAGACACCUGGCAGGUCUGCCGUUAGUGAACUUAACGCCGUUACCAAAAAGAACCACUUUGAACAGUUU
rnacentral:lncRNA from 1 species